GUCCAUUGCUCCAAGACCUCAGUCCAAAAUGGUAGCCUGAAAACCCUCAAGAAAUUCACGAAGGCCAUCAACAAAGCCAUAGAGGAGGUGAAAUCUUUAGCAAUUGAAAAAAUACAUGUGAAAUCAUGGAUCCCUGAAGGGUUUUCUUGGCCAAGAUACUGGAAUGGUUUGUCAUUUCCU